GCAAGUCGAACGAGAAAGUGGAGCAAUCCAUGAGUACAGUGGCGCACGGGUGAGUAACACGUGACUAACCUACCCUUGAGUGGGGGAUAACUGAGGGAAACCUUAGCUAAUACCGCAUAAUACCUACGGGUCAAAGGAGCAUUUCGCUUUAGGAGGGGGUCGCGGCCGAUUAGUUAGUUGGCGGGGUAAUGGCCCACCAAGACGAUGAUCGGUAUCCGGCCUGAGAGGGCGCACGGACACACUGGAACUGAAACACGGUCCAGACUCCUACGGGAGGCAGCAGUGGGGAAUUUUGCGCAAUGGGGGAAACCCUGACGCAGCAACGCCGCGUGGAGGAUGAAGUCCUUCGGGACGUAAACUCCUUUCGAUCGGGACGAUUAUGACGGUACCGGAAGAAGAAGCCCCGGCUAACUUCGUGCCAGCAGCCGCGGUAAUACGAGGGGGGCGAGCGUUGUUCGGAAUUAUUGGGCGUAAAGGGUGCGUAGGCGGUUUGGUAAGUCUUGUGUGAAAUCUCCAGGCUCAACUUGGAGUCUGCACGAGAAACUGCCGGGCUUGAGUGUGGGAGAGGUGAGUGGAAUUCCUGGUGUAGCGGUGAAAUGCGUAGAUAUCAGGAGGAACACCUGUGGCGAAAGCGGCUCACUGGACCACAACUGACGCUGAUGCACGAAAGCUAGGGGAGCAAACAGGAUUAGAUACCCUGGUAGUCCUAGCCCUAAACGAUGACUGCUUGGUGUGACGGGUACCCAAUCCCGCCGUGCCGUAGCUAACGCGUUAAGCAGUCCGCCUGGGGAGUACGGUCGCAAGGCUGAAACUCAAAG
rnacentral:rRNA from 1 species